AGUGAACGCUGGCGGUAGGCCUAACACAUGCAAGUCGAACGGCAGCACAGUAAGAGCUUGCUCUUACGGGUGGCGAGUGGCGGACGGGUGAGGAAUACAUCGGAAUCUAUUUUUUCGUGGGGGAUAACGUAGGGAAACUUACGCUAAUACCGCAUACGACCUACGGGUGAAAGCAGGGGAUCUUCGGACCUUGCGCGAUUGAAUGAGCCGAUGUCGGAUUAGCUAGUUGGCGGGGUAAAGGCCCACCAAGGCAACGAUCCGUAGCUGGUCUGAGAGGAUGAUCAGCCACACUGGAACUGAGACACGGUCCAGACUCCUACGGGAGGCAGCAGUGGGGAAUAUUGGACAAUGGGCGCAAGCCUGAUCCAGCCAUACCGCGUGGGUGAAGAAGGCCUUCGGGUUGUAAAGCCCUUUUGUUGGGAAAGAAAAGCAGCAGGUUAAUACCCCGCUGUUCUGACGGUACCCAAAGAAUAAGCACCGGCUAACUUCGUG
rnacentral:rRNA from 1 species